UUUUUUUUUUUUUUUUUUUUUUUUCCUCAGGAGAUAUUUUCUUUGUGUUCACAAAUAUGCUCAAGAAGCUACCAUUCCAACUCUUAUAUUCUUUAUCUACACUGCAGCUCCUGAGCAGUACUACAACUGCUGGACUGUUAUUGCUUUUUCUGGCAUGUAUGAUGUUUUCAAGGCAAAAUUAUAAUUUUAUGGAGAAGUCACUGCUUGCUUAUUCUGGACACAGACAGCCACCACUUGCAUUAAGGGUGGUCAUAUAUUCAAUUUAUUCACCACGGCUUUUUCUGACAAUAUUGAAUUUUACUUGGAUCCUGUACUCCUAUAAAACAGUGAAGAUUUAAAAUUCCCCCCAAAUUUUGUGUUUCAGGAAAUGGCUCAUUUCAAAUAACCAGUCUUCCUCAUGCGAGUUCGAUAAUAUUCAUAGAUGCCACCCACUCCCAUUUCCUAUGAAUUCUUACUUUUUGCCCCAUAAAUAAUUAGCUGGUCAGCAGACAUCCAUCCUUAGUUGUUGGCUUUAAACUACUAUGUCUUAACCUCAUUCAAAACUGUUGUUUUGGAAACAGAGCUGGAAGUAUUUGGAAUGGAAUUCAGAUUUUUAAAAAUGUAUCUAGUAUAUUUCUUCGACCUUUAUUGAUGUACUAUUCUUAAGAUGGGAGGGAGCCUACCAAUAUAAUUUAGUAAAUUAUUCUCCUUAAAAGUCUUAUAAACAGCUGUUUUGAGUAAGUGGCAUUUUAGAUGGAAGAAGAAACAUAGUUAAAGGAAAAAGAAUAAAAGAUUUUUCUUUUUCACUGCCAUAGCUAUGUGAGUCCAAAGGCUGAGGUAUAUUCAGCUUUCAAAAUAUAUUUAUUAAAUAAAUUAAGGAAGCUGGUAUAUAAAAUGGUAAUGUAAUAUGUUUCAAAAAAAGGGCAGUAAUUCUGUAAAAAUUUUGAACAUUUUCUACUCCUAGUGUUACACUUUCUAUUUCAUAAAAAGAAAAGUAAGAGAGAGAAAGAUUAAAGCUUUGUCUGUUCUAGGUUAAAAUAGAUUUAAAAGCCAAAACAACCAAAUACUAAAUUAUAUGGUCUUUAAUUGGUCAAGCAUGAGCUUAUCAGCUAUAAAUGAGACUUUUAGAAUAUCUAAAUAUUCUCAUAGAAUUACCAUUAAAUAAUAUUAGGUACUAUAUCUCAAUUUCUUUAGCACUGAUAUGUUAUGGUAAAAAUAAUUUUUUUGCAGGGGAGAUGCACGCUUGAGGUAUUUAGGAAUGAAGUGUUAAGGUAUUUGUAAUUUAUUUUAUAAUGUAAUAUAGUGAAGUAAACAUAGGAAAUAGCAACAGUUUUUGAACUCAGAUUUUGGAUAAUUGUUUGCUCACUGUAUUUUCUAGACGUAAAAAUAUUCGUGCUUAAGUAAAUGUGAAGAAGAGAUGAAAGAGAAAAUUUUAGAUAAAGAUGAGAAAAAUAAGCCAUUUCAGAAAGAAAAAUCAUUUUAAAGUUUUCUUAAUAAAUAUGAAAUAUCUGAGAAUAAGGAGAAAGAAAUGCCAUAUCUAGGCCAAAAUGUGAGAAGGGAAGCUCUGCAGAUAAUUCCUCAACCAAAUGGAAAGUAGGUGGUGCUAGUCAAGGACCAAGAUCAGCAUGUUCCCAUGGACUAGCAUCCCACUUUUCCCUGAAAUUUAUACCAAAAUAGUUUAUGUAUUAACAUAUACAAAAAUUAGCUUCAAUAAAAACUCAGAGAUAUUUACUAUUCUAUUGAUAGAUAAUUCUAUAAACUGAAUAUAUAAUAAAAUUGAUGUAUAGGUGUUUAAGAGAGAGAGGGAGAAACUUUGAUUCUUCUUUUUGGGUAAAUACCUACAAAUAGAAUUAUUAAGCCAAAGAUCUCAACAUUUUGAAGGUUGUGAAUUAAAAUUACCGAAGUCCUUUCUAGAAAACACAGGCGCGAUCAAAAACUAUCACCAUUAUCAUUGUUACCAUUUAUAUAACUUCCUACUUCCAUGUAAGCAUUACACAAAGAAUAUUAUGUCUUUUUUUUUACCUCAUGCAAUAGUUCCAUUAAAUAAUUAUUAUUACCCCCAAUGUAAUAGACUUAAGUGGUUUAGGUUAUUUGUAAGUAUAUAAAGAAAGGAAAUUAUAUAAAUUCAUUUGUGUUAUUUCCUUCUACCAAAACAUGUAUAUCCUUACCUAUAUUAUUUAUGAUGUUCAUGUGCACCUUCCAACAAUGGAUAUUAUGUAUGUUUUAGAUUAAUAUGAUAAGUAAAAAAUGAUAUCUCAUUGUUUAAAAGAUUCACCAUUUUAUUAACCAUUUGCAUUUCUUCUUUUGCAAUUGUCUUUCCUCUUCUUAAAUACAUUCUCUACUUGAACAUCUCUCAAUUCUAUUAAUUUAUAAUGCUAUGUAUAGAAUAACAGUAUUAACCUCUAUUUGGAUUAUGGUUAAAAAUACUUAUCCCUACUGUGAAUUGAAGAGAAAUCGUAUCUUUUAAAGAAAUAGAACUGUUCACCGAAAUCUACAUUUAAAUAGAAAAACAUUUUAAAAACUGAAAAAUUUAUGUGAAAAGAAAAUGUAGAAAGAGACUCACUUUAUAGAUAAAAAUAAAAUUCAAGUUAAAUUACUGGGUUUCAGUCCAAAUAAUAACUUUAUAACUGUCCAUUGCAUAUAUUUGUCUAAAUUUGAAUACUUAUUUUAAAGCAACUUCACAAAAUAUGUUCAAAUUUUCUUAAUGUCCUAAUCACUCUAUAUUUGUUUCGUAGUUUUAUCUCUUUGUAACAAAAAUGGAAAGGUACAGAUAAGCAAAUUGCUAAUAUAUUCUGACAAUGCAACUAUUCUGGAAAACUUGAUUACAAAACAGCCUAUUUUUCUUUAAGUGA
rnacentral:lncRNA from 1 species